GAAAGUAAACAAGGGCGCAUGGAGGAUGCCUAGGCUCUCGGAGGCGAAGAAGGACGUGAUAAGCUGCGAAAAGUUACGGUAAGGCGCAAAUAGCCCUAGACCCGUAAAUAUCCGAAUGGGGCAACCCGGCCAGCAAUGGCCAUACCGCCAAGCGGUAAGCCAACGCGGGGAACUGAAACAUCUAAGUACCCGCAGGAAAAGAAAAUAACAAUGAUUCCGCCAGUAGUGGCGAGCGAACGCGGAACAGCCCAAACCACCCGUGUUACGGCACGAGUGGGGUAGAAGGAUCCACGCUACGGCAAGAAAUAAGUUAGCAGAAUACGAUGGAAAUCGUAGCCAGAGACGGUGACAGCCCGGUACGCGAAAACGGACAGAAGCCCAGUGGACACCUGAGUAACCCAGGACACGAGAAAUCCGGGGCGAAUCAGCGGGGCCCAUCCCGUAAGGCUAAAUACUCCCGAGAGACCGAUAGCGAACCAGUACUGUGAAGGAAAGGUGAAAAGAACCUCGAACAGAGGAGUGAAACAGACCCUGAAACCAUGCGCCUACAAGCGGUCGGAGCAUGUUAAAAUGUGACGGCGUGCCUUUUGCAUAAUGAACCUACGAGUUACUCUCGCUGGCAAGGUUAAGCGAUUCAGUCGCGUAGCCGAAGCGAAAGCAAGUCCGAACAAGGCGUACAGUCAGCGGGAGUAGACGCGAAACCAAGUGAUCUACCCUUGGUCAGGUUGAAGGUUGGGUAACACCAACUGGAGGACCGCACCGAUAAGCGUUGAAAAGCUUACGGAUGAACUGAGGGUAGGAGUGAAAGGCCAAUCAAACUUGGAGAUAGCUCGUACUCCCCGAAAUGCAUUUAGGUGCAGCCUCGAAGUAAAGUGAUAGAGGUAGAGCGACUGAUAAGAUGCGAGGGCUUCACCGCCUAUCAAGUCUUGACAAACUCCGAAUACUAUCACUUGAUCUUCGGGAGUGAGGGCAUGGGUGCUAAGGUCCAUGUCCGAAAGAGGAACAACUCAGACCACCAGCUAAGGUCCCGAAAUAAGGGCUAAGUUGAAUAAACGAAGUAAAACUGCAAAGACAGCUAGGAUGUUGGCUUGGAAGCAGCCAUUCAUUUAAAGAGUGCGUAACAGCUCACUAGUCGAGGAGUUUUGCAUGGAUAAUAAUCGGGCAUAAGCCCUUUACCGAAGCUGUGGAUGUCGUAAGACAUGGUAGGGGAGCAUUCCGGCGGCGACGAAGGCCGUCCUCGAGGACGACUGGAGCUUUCGGAAAAGCAAAUGUAGGUAUAAGUAACGAUAAAGGGGGCGUGAAACCCCCUCGCCAUAAGACUAAGGAUUCCUGAUCAACGCUAAUCGGAUCAGGGUAAGUCGGGCCCUAAGGCGCAGCCGAACGGCGUAGCCGAUGGAAGAAACGGUAAAGAUUCCGUUACUGGAUAUAGGAGCGAUGUGGAGACGGAGAAGUGACACACCCGCCUGCCGACGGAAGCGCAGGUUAAAGGAAGUAGGUAAACGCCGGGUAGGCAAAUCCGCCUGGCGUGCCGAAGCUGACAGUAUCGAGAGCCCCCGGGCAAUCGAAUAGCGGUGGUAAUCAGGCUCCCAAGAAAAUCCGCUAAGCAUAUUCUAUAUCCACCCGUACCCCAAACGGACACACGUAGUCGGGUAGAAUAUACCAAGGCGCUCGAAAGACUCACGGUUAAGGAACUAGGCAAAUUGACCCUGUAACCUCGGGAAAAAGGGUCCCCAGUAAGAUGGGGCGCAGAGAAUAGGUCCAGGCAACUGUUUAACAAAAACACAGGGCUGUGCAAAAUUUCAAGAUGAAGUAUACAGCCUGACACCUGCCCGGUGCCGGAAGGUUAAGAGGAGAGCUAAUCGCAAGAGAAGGCUUGAAUUGAAGCCCCGGUAAACGGCGGCCGUAACUAUAACGGUCCUAAGGUAGCGAAAUUCCUUGUCGGGUAAGUUCCGACCUGCACGAAUGGUGUAAUGAUCUGGACACUGUCUCAACCGUGACUUCGGUGAAAUUGUAGUAUCGGUGAAGAUGCCGAUUACCCGCAACGGGACGAAAAGACCCCGUGAACCUUUACUGCAACUUAGCAUUGCGUUUGGGCAUUUGAUGUGUAGGAUAGUCCGGAGGCUACGAGUCGGCGACGCCAGUCGUCGAGGAGCCGCUGUUGAAAUACGGACCUUCGAAUGUUUGAGCGCUAACUCGCUGUAGCGAGGACACUGUUUGGUGGGUAGUUUGACUGGGGUGGUCGCCUCCAAAAGCGUAACGGAGGCUUCUA
rnacentral:rRNA from 1 species